AUGUCAGUUUCAGAUACAGACCUUCAUAAUGGAGAAAAGCCCAUCUCCGAAAUUACCGAUGCGGAACUCGCCGAAAAGCAUGGUCAUAUGAAGUUAGUAUGCUCACAGACAAGGUUCGGAAAAACCAUGAAACUGUUGUCACCAGACCACAAAAAGUACAUCAUAUCAGAAACCAGUCUUGGCGGUCUAACCCAGAUGCAUGAAGUGACUCUAUGGCGCAUAAUGUUGGUUAGACUAGCCAAGAGCAUAGAUAUGGACACGCAAUCCAUUACCAUUGGUAAAACGCCAAUUCCUAUAACAAAAGAGGACGUGCAGUGUAUAUUUGGCAUUCCGAUAGAAGGGGAGGAUAUAGAGCCACAUCUGGAAAUGCAAACCGACACAAAAUUGUUUACCGCCUAUGCAAACAAUGGGCAAAUUUUGAUUUCUGACCUUGAAACGGUGAUCUGA
rnacentral:rRNA from 1 species